CUACGGGGGGCUCCAGUGGGGAAUAUUGGACAAUGGGGGAAACCCUGAUCCAGCAAUGCCGCGUGUGUGAAAAAGGCCUGCGGGUUGUAAAGCACUUUCGGUUGGGAGGACUGCUUCUAGCACUAAUAUUGUUGGAAGUUGACGUUACCUUCAGAAGAAGCACCGGCUACUCCGUGCCAGCAGCCGCGGUAAUACGGAGGGUGCAAGCGUGAAUCGGAAUUACUGGGCGUAAAGCGCGCGUAGGCGGCUAGAUCAGUCGGGUGUGAAAGCCCCGGGCUUAACCUGGGAACUGCAUCCGAUACUGUCUAGCUUGAGUACAGGAGAGGAGAGUGGAAUUCCACAUGUAGCGGUGAAAUGCGUAGAUAUGUGGAGGAACACCAAUGGCGAAGGCAGCUCUCUGGCCUGAUACUGACGCUGAGGUGCGAAAGCGUGGGGAGCAAACAGGAUUAGAUACCCUAGUAGUC
rnacentral:rRNA from 1 species